GGUUUUAACCCAGUAACCAAGGUUAGCUGUCGUUUCGAACUCUCGAAAGAGUGUCGAAUAACUAAAAUUUCUGGAAACACUUCUUCGGGGUUAUCCGAUGAGGCAGA
rnacentral:sRNA from 1 species